rnacentral:rRNA from 1 species
CACGUAGGGCGCAAGCGUUGUCCGGAAUUAUUGGGCGUAAAGAGCUCGUAGGCGGUGUGUCGCGUCGGCCGUGAAAACCUGCAGCUUAACUGUGGGCUUGCGGUCGAUACGGGCAUCACUGGAGUUCGGCAGGGGAGACUGGAAUUCCUGGUGUAGCGGUGAAAUGCGCAGAUAUCGGGAGGAACACCAGUGGCGAAGGCGACUUCCUGGCCUGUUCUUGACGCUGAGGCGCGAAAGCUAGGGGAGCAAACGGG